ACCAUGCAAGUCGGACGGUAGCACAGAGAGCUUGCUCUUGGGUGACGAGUGGCGGACGGGUGAGUAAUGUCUGGGGAUCUGCCCGAUAGAGGGGGAUAACCACUGGAAACGGUGGCUAAUACCGCAUAACGUCGCAAGACCAAAGAGGGGGACCUUCGGGCCUCUCACUAUCGGAUGAACCCAGAUGGGAUUAGCUAGUAGGCGGGGUAAUGGCCCACCUAGGCGACAAUCCCUAGCUGGUCUGAGAGGAUGACCAGCCACACUGGAACUGAGACACGGUCCAGACUCCUACGGGAGGCAGCAGUGGGGAAUAUUGCACAAUGGGCGCAAGCCUGAUGCACCCAUGCCGCGUGUAUGAAAAAAGCCUUCGGGUUGUAAAGUACUUUCACCGGGGAGGAAGGCGAUGCGGUUAAUAACCCCGUCGAUUGACGUUACCCGCACAAAAAACACCGGGCUAACUCCGUGCCAGCAGCCGCGGUAAUACGGAGGGUGCAAGCGUUAAUCGGAAUUACUGGGCGUAAAGCGCACGCACGCGGUCUGUUAAGUCAGAUGUGAAAUCCCCGGGCUUAACCUGGGAACUGCAUUUGAAACUGGCAGGCUUGAGUCUUGUAGAGGGGGGUAGAAUUCCAGGU
rnacentral:rRNA from 1 species